rnacentral:rRNA from 1 species
GAUGAACGCUGGCGGCGUGCUUAACACAUGCAAGUCGAACGAUGAAGCCCAGCUUGCUGGGUGGAUUAGUGGCGAACGGGUGAGUAACACGUGAGUAACCUGCCCCUGACUCUGGGAUAAGCCCGGGAAACUGGGUCUAGUACCGGAUAUGACCAUGGGACGCAUGUCUUGUGGUGGAAAGAUUUAUCGGUUGGGGAUGGACUCGCGGCCUAUCAGCUUGUUGGUGAGGUAAUGGCUCACCAAGGCGACGACGGGUAGCCGGCCUGAGAGGGUGACCGGCCACACUGGGACUGAGACACGGCCCAG